AGCUUGCUACCUGACCUAGCGGCGGACGGGUGAGUAAUGCUUAGGAAUCUGCCUAUUAGCGGGGGACAACAUUCCGAAAGGAAUGCUAAUACCGCAUACGCCCUACGGGGGAAAGCAGGGGAUCUUCGGACCUUGCGCUAAUAGAUGAGCCUAAGUCAGAUUAGCUAGUUGGUGGGGUAAAGGCCUACCAAGGCGACGAUCUGUAGCGGGUCUGAGAGGAUGAUCCGCCACACUGGGACUGAGACACGGCCCAGACUCCUACGGGAGGCAGCAGUGGGGAAUAUUGGACAAUGGGCGAAAGCCUGAUCCAGCCAUGCCGCGUGUGUGAAGAAGGCCUUUUGGUUGUAAAGCACUUUAAGCGAGGAGGAGGCUACUUGGAUUAAUACUCUAGGAUAGUGGACGUUACUCGCAGAAUAAGCACCGGCUAACUCUGUGCCAGCAGCCGCGGUAAUACAGAGGGUGCGAGCGUUAAUCGGAUUUACUGGGCGUAAAGCGUGCGUAGGCGGCUUUUUAAGUCGGAUGUGAAAUCCCUGAGCUUAACUUAGGAAUUGCAUUCGAUACUGGGAAGCUAGAGUAUGGGAGAGGAUGGUAGAAUUCCAGGUGUAGCGGUGAAAUGCGUAGAGAUCUGGAGGAAUACCGAUGGCGAAGGCAGCCAUCUGGCCUAAUACUGACGCUGAGGUACGAAAGCAUGGGGAGCAAACAGGAUUAGAUACCCUGGUAGUCCAUGCCGUAAACGAUGUCUACUAGCCGUUGGGGCCUUUGAGGCUUUAGUGGCGCAGCUAACGCGAUAAGUAGACCGCCUGGGGAGUACGGUCGCAAGACUAAAACUCAAAUGAAUUGACGGGGGCCCGCACAAGCGGUGGAGCAUGUGGUUUAAUUCGAUGCAACGCGAAGAACCUUACCUGGUCUUGACAUAGUAAGAACUUUCCAGAGAUGGAUUGGUGCCUUCGGGAACUUACAUACAGGUGCUGCAUGGCUGUCGUCAGCUCGUGUCGUGAGAUGUUGGGUUAAGUCCCGCAACGAGCGCAACCCUUUUCCUUAUUUGCCAGCGAGUAAUGUCGGGAACUUUAAGGAUACUGCCAGUGACAAACUGGAGGAAGGCGGGGACGACGUCAAGUCAUCAUGGCCCUUACGACCAGGGCUACACACGUGCUACAAUGGUCGGUACAAAGGGUUGCUACCUAGCGAUAGGAUGCUGAUCUCAAAAAGCCGAUCGUAGUCCGGAUUGGAGUCUGCAACUC
rnacentral:rRNA from 1 species